rnacentral:rRNA from 1 species
UGAACGAAGCCUGUGAUCUUGGAGCAAUACAAGGCGUUCGGCUCAGUAACACGCAGUCAACCUACCUUAUGGACGGGGAUAACCUCGGGAAACUGAGAAUAAUACCCGAUAGAUCAUUAUGCCUGGAACGGUUUAUGGUCAAAAUGAAUUUCGCCAUAGGAUGGGACUGCGGUCUAUCAGCUUGUUGGNGAGGUAAUGGCCCACCAAGGCGUAUAACAGAUACGGGCUCUGAGAGGAGAGGCCCCGGAGAUGGGUACUGAGACACGGACCCAGGUCCUAUGGGGCGCAGCAAGCGAAAAAAGUUUGCAAUGUGCGAAAGCGCGACAAGGUUAAUGCGGGUGUUUCCUGCUAAAGGAAUCUUUUGUCAGUCGUAAAGCCACUAACGAAUAGAAGGGGGGGCAAGGUGCUGGGUGUAAGCCGUCGGGGAUAAACUAGCGCCUCAAGGUGGGUCAUGAGGAUUAUGGGCCUAGAGCAGACGAGACCUGGGUUUGANAGNUUACGGUAAAGUCAUAAGGCUCGANAGANGGGGCCGCGGGGAAAACNGANUGCCAGGGGGAGUGGGAGAAG